rnacentral:rRNA from 1 species
AUUCUAGAGCUAAUACAUGCUGGCGUGCCCGACUUUUGUGGAAGGGCGGUAUUUAUUAGAUAACAAGCCAAUAUUCCUCCGGGUCUAUUGUGGUGAUUCAUAAUAACUGAUCGAAUCGCAAGGCCCUUGGCCGCGAUAAGUCAUUCAAGUUUCUGCCCCAUCAGCUUUCGAUGGUAGUGUAUUGGACUACCAUGGCGUUCACGGGUAACGGAGAAUUAGGGUUCGAUUCCGGAGAGGGAGCCUGAGAAACGGCUACCACAUCUAAGGAAGGCAGCAGGCGCGUAAAUUACCCAAUCCCGACUCGGGGAGGUAGUG